rnacentral:rRNA from 1 species
CAAUAGCGUAUAUUAAAGUUGUUGCAGUUAAAAAGCUCGUAGUUGGAUUUCUGGUGGGAGCGAUCGGUCUGGCGCUUAGCGCGAGUACUUGCAUCGUCUCCGGCCAUCCUUGGGGAGAGUCUGUCUGGCAUUAAGUUGUCGGGCAGAGGAUCCUCAUCGUUUACUGUGAAAAAAUUAGAGUGUUCAAAGCAGGCUUAUGCCGUUGAAUAUAUUAGCAUGGAAUAAUAAGAUAGGACUUUGGUACUAUUUUGUUGGUUUGCGCACCAAAGUAAUGAUUAAUAGGGACAGUUGGGGGUAUUAGUAUUCCGUUGUCAGAGGUGAAAUUCUUGGAUUUACGGAAGACGAACUACUGCGAAAGCAUUUACCAAGGAUGUUUUCAUUAA